rnacentral:rRNA from 1 species
CAACGUGGGCAAUCUGCCCUCAAGUGGGGAAUAACGCUGCGAAAGCAGUGCUAAUACCGCAUAAGCUUAACGCAAGUUAAGUAAAGCUAAGUGCGCUUGAGGAGGAGCCCGCGGCUGAUUAGCUAGAUGGUGGGGUAACGGCCUACCAUGGCGAUGAUCAGUAGCCGGCCUGAGAGGGCUGACGGCCACACUGGGACUGAGACACGGCCCAG